rnacentral:lncRNA from 1 species
GGCGAUGCUAAAGAGAGGUAAGACAGCACACGUAUUCAUGAGGAGAACCAAGUGGCGAGUUAAACCCUUUGGAUAGGGACCGUGCAGGAUGUGGAUCUUGUGGUGAACAAUAUUGGCCGACGCAGUUCAUGUGGUCGGAUGAAGAGUCUGUGAAGAUAGACACCGGAGUGCAAUCCAGCAUUCCUGAGAUGGAGGGACCAUUGAC